GCAGCUGGCGCCCCCCGUGCCCCUCGCCCGCCUCUCACUCCCCGCGCCCCCGCCCCUGGUGGACGUCGCCAUCAUCGCACACUUGGAGAUUGUCAUCGGCUUUCAUAAUAACUGUACGCUGAAUUUGUGGGAUCUACGCGAGGAGACUCUUCUCCAGACCAUCAAGAUAAAAUUCCCGUUCCUCGGUGCACUUGGAAAAAAGCUGGAGUUCGGCGCGUACUGCAUUCACCCUGGGCCACCUAGAAAAAAAGAAGGUACGGAAGAACAGCCUACGCAAUCCCCAUCGAGACGUGGUUCCCAGGUGUAUCAGGGCUCUACUGGUGGUCUGCUGCUAGAAGAUGACGAGACCUCUGACGGCUUUACUGGU